ensembl:lncRNA
GAAUGCUCUUCCCUCUUUAUACUUCAUCAUGGUUGCCGUGUCAUAGCUUCUGCUGUCAUAUGGAGGGAGAGUGCUUGUAUAUCUUAUAACUGGAAGUUUGUACCUUUCUUGACUGUCUUCUUCAGUCUCCCCUUCUCCAGCCCCAUACUGCUGAUCUGAUAGGAAAAAAAAAUGCAAGGACUGUUCUGACAUCCAUUAAUGCAGUUCAGUUAGAGGGACGGAAAGGAAGACACAAAGGAGGAAGAUUCUGCAGUCUCAGGAGAGGUUAAGUCGAUUACUGAAGGACUGAUGCUGAAGCUGAAGCUACAAUACUCUGGCCGCCUGAUUCGAAGAACCAACUCAUUGGAAAAGACCCUGAUGCUGGGCAAGAUUGAAGGCAGGAGGAGAAGGGGACGACAGAGGAUGAGAUGGUUGGAUGGCAUCACCGACUCAAUGGACAUGAGUUUAAGCAAUCUCUGGGAGUUGGUGAAGGACAGGAGAGCCUGGCAUGCAGUCCAUGAGGUCGCAGUCCAACAGUCACAAGGUCUGACUCUUUGAGUCCAAAGAGUCACACACGACUGAGCGACUGAACUGAAUAUAUAUGUGUUGAGCCCCUGAAGGUAAGGUUACUGAGAAAACCCCCAGCACCUAGUGGAUGGAGUGGCAGCACCGUGUGGCUCCUUCUUCCUGCUGCCUGGGGCACUUGUGUCCUGGGGUCACUCUAUGGCCCUUGCUUAGCCUGCCCCCCAUCUCCCCCACCCCCGCAACAAGAAGCCUCCGUGACCCCAGGCUGUCUUUCUAUGUUGUUGUGGCUUCUUGAAUUGCUUCUUAAACCAAAGGCUUUGUGCGGGUGGGGCAGAUAUCACAUUUACUGUUGAGUCCUUUUUGCCAAACUAUCGCCUGGUGGUAGAUAGGACCCAAUAAAUAUAUUUCAAAUCAAAGAACAAAUUGAGAAAUGAAAGGUGUGAAUGAGGUGUUUCCUCACCUAAAGGGUGAGUGUAGGGGAUCCCAGUGGAGGCGACUGCUGCCUCUCUGCUGGCUGGACAUACCCACCAAACUUGCACAAGACUUCCCCAAACAUUUACAAAUGGUUGCUUGAUUUCUUCCUCUUGCAUUAAAUACAAAAGCCUGGGAGUUCUGUGGACAGAGGUGGAAGCUGCAUGGAUGUCCUUUGGCAGGUGUCAUGGGCAUUGUAAACCAGGAGUACCUUCCCUUCUCCAGCAGCAGAGGGACUGAGAAUAGGAGGGCUUCUCUGGAUGCCACAGAGGCCCAUAGGUAGAAGACCCACUUGCCCCUGCCAUGGUUUUUGGCCUAGUGGCUCUUCUCUAUCUGGGAAGAGGAAGCUUGCUUUUUUCCCUUCUGUCCUUCUGUCAAAACAUGCUACACAUCAGGAACUAGGGAAAUGGAUACUGUUUCACUAGGUGGUGCAGACACCAGAAUGCUUCAUAGAAUAACUAGAGAUUGGGGUUCCUAUUUGCCUCCUCACCAUUCCCUACUCCUCUCCCUAAAUCUCAUCUGCUUUGUCCCACCUUAGAAAGAUAAGUGUGAUGCUGUAUGUAUGCUAUGUGUUAGAAACAAACACUUAUUUAUAAGGUGUUGAUAUAUUCUGCCUCAAUAAUUUGAUGUCUGGAAGUGUGUUUUAAGGAAUAGUUUAAAAUGCUGAUAGGAAUGUAUGCAUAAAGAUGUUCAACACACAAUUGCUUAAGAACUGAAAACUUGGAACACCCUACAUGUCUUAACUUUAAGAGAAUGAAUAAGUAGCAGUAGACUUCCAUGCUAAUAGUAGCAUGGUCUUCAAUGCAAAGGAAUGAAGCUGUAAAAAUGAUCAUAGCAGAUGAUUUUUAAUGACUGUUAGUGCUGUAUAUAUAAUAUUAAGUCUAAAAAGCAGUAUACAAAGAUAUAUGAAUGGUUUCAGCUAUUC